UGUACGGCAAAGUGAUUCAGUUAGACGUAUGUAUAUUCUUUUUCAUAUUCCUUUCCAUCAUAGUUUAUUACAGGAUAUCAAAUGCAGUUCUCUGUGAUAUACACAAGGGCUUUUUUGUUUAUCCACUCUCUAUGUAAUAGUUUGCAUUUGAUAAUCCCAAACUCCUAAUCCAUCCCUCUCCCGCAACUCUUGGCAACUACGAGUCUGUUCUCUAUGUCUGUGUGUUUGUUUCAUAGUUAAGUUCAUUUGUGUCAUAUUUAUAUUCCACAUAUAAUUGAUGUCAUAUGGCAUUUGCCUUUCUCUUUCUGACUUAACUUCACUUAGUAGGGUCAUCUCUAGGUGCAUCCAUGUUGCUACAAAUGGCGUUAUGUCAUUCAUUUUAUGGCUGAGCAGUAUUCCAUUUUACACACACACACCUCUUUAUCCAUUCAUCCAUCAAUGGACAUUUAUGUUGCUGGGGCUUCUUGGCUAUUGUAAAUAAUGCUGCAACAAACACUGGGGUGCAUGUACCUUUUUGAAUUACGGUUUUCUGUAAUAUAUCCCCACGAGUGGGAUUGCUGGAUCUCGGCGGGCCUGCCCCAUCACUCCCCCACCACAGAGUCUUGACUGUCUGAGACCACAGCAGGCUGUUGGGAGCUCCCAAGUCCCCAGCACACAGUUGGGGGUUUUCUUGUGCUCCUUGCCUGAGCAUCUCGAGUGCCGGGGCUGAGCCUCUGGGCCCUGGGGCACCCAGUCAUCCAUGACAGCUUCCUGGAGGCCUUGGGGCCAUGUCCAGGCCUGGCCCUCCUCCCUCGGGUUGCUUGGGGGCCCUCAGCCUUUGCAGACUAUCCACCUUAUGUGCAGACCCUGCUGUUCUCCGCGACUUCUCCCCACCAGGCCCUUGCUAGCAUCAGGGCAGACAGCUUCUCGGGAGGCCCGACCUCGGAUGCACACCCUGGCACAGCCCCAGACCCCCACCCAAGAACCGUAUGGUUUCCAUCAAAAUUGAAACCAGCGGGAUCUUCCCCAGCAGGAUCCCUGGAUAGGAGAGUUCUCGUGGCUUAUCUUCCAGCCCGGCAGCACGCUCCUUCUCAGCAUCCUCUAGCUUGAUUAACUAUCUGCAACAUUAAUUAUUACAAUUUAUUAAAUCUGGAGAAAUAAAAUCUCACAGUGCCCCCCCUCGCCACCACCCCUCUUCUCCACCAAAAUGGAGUAUCUUAUUUUGCUAACUGCUUAAACAUAAAACACCACCAGAAAAAAAUUGUCCCCACGGCUCAUAUUUUUCAUCAUUUGGUCAUUAAAUAGUGAUGGAUAUAAACCUAUAAAGAACCUAAACUGAACCUUUUAACAAUCCAUGAGCAAUACUAUCAUUUCUUUAAUAGAAUCUGCUGACCGUGCCUUGCACAGACACCAUUUGUCACUUUCAGCACGCAAUAAUCAAUAAGUCGGCUUGAAAAUAAAUAAUAUAACAGUCACAAUAUAUUAUCUUUCAGACUGGCCUUAUACUAACCAUAAAACGGGACCAAAACAAGAGGGAAACUUUUACAUAAAUGUUAACAAGUUCAGAGCAUCACAGUUGGGCCGGAUGCAUGAAUUAGCCUGGUGCCACGUCUCCCUCCCUAAUUUGCUUUAAGUUCUUUCGAGCUGGACCUUUGCUGCUGCCACUGCUGAGGCCAGGCAGUGGGGUUGUGAUCAGCGGAGUGUGUGGUGGCCCGAUGUGACAGAGUUCCUUCAUGGCCUCUAUUGCAUGGGUGCAGACAUCCUGAGGUUCAUGCCAGGGACGGAGUCAUAGCUUCAGAGAAAAAAGGCCGCUUGGGUCACAGACCCAAGGCCAGGCCUGGAAGGCAGUUUGCUCAGAUCCAAGAGGGGGGCGUCACAGCCCAUAUUCAACUUCAGGGAUUUGUGUUCUGUGGGAGAGAAAUGCCACAAAGAAUCCAGGCCACCAGGUGGCCUUGAUGGAGAGCAGGUUCUGGAAGCAGCAAAGCAGCGGCCAGGUCACUGUAAUCUUCCCAGAUGAGAAGCCCCUUGCGGUCCCCCCACUGCUCACCUUGUCUAGUUGGCCACACCCCGUGCUGCUCUUCAACAGCAUUGGAGAGCCAUCAGCCCAGGUCCCACUUGUUCAUUCCACUACUUAUUCAUCAACAAAAUGGUACUGGAGUUCCCACUGCGGCUCAGUGAGUUAAGAACCCAACAGUGUCCAUGCUGAUGUGGGUUCGAUCCCUGGCUUCACAGUGGGUUAAGGAUCUGGCAUGGCUGCAAGCUGCAGUGUAGGUUAAAGAUGUGGCUCAGAUCCGGCGUUGCUGUGACUGCGGCUUAGGCCAGUGGCUGCAACUCGGAUUUGACCCCUAGCCCGGGAACUUCCACAUGCUGCAGAUGCGGCUGUGAAAAGAAAACAAACAAACAAAACCCAAAAUGGUCCUGAGGACCUACUUAAGUGCCAAGCCCUGUUCUAGGGGCCGGAGGUACAACAGUGGAACAAACAGACAAAAAUCCCUACCUCCUGGAGCUUACCUGCUUGUCGGGGCAAUAAAACUGACCCCCUGUCAGGAGGGUGGUCACUGCUGGGGAGGACCAUACAGCAGGGGGAGGGGACAAGUUCAAGUUUAGACCGAAUCUCUGCUGAUGCCCAGGUGCCCCGUCCAAUCUCAGUCCUGCCUUUGCGACCCAGCUUCCCUGGUAACCAGUCUCCCUAGGGCGCCUAAUGACACCCUACUUGGGUCAGAGCCAGGCUGCCAGAUACCAGCCUGCAGGAGAAGCCCCACCUCCUGAGAGGCCAGAGCACCGUCCCCGCUUCAUAGGAGCCCAAGGCUCAGAGGCAGCAAGUCACUGGUGAUUCUUGGAGUUCCUGCUGUAGCACAACAGGACGGCCGGUCUCUUGGGAGCCCUGGGACGCAGGUUCAAUCCCCAGCCCAGUACAGUGGGUUAAAGAUCCAGCAUUGCUGCAGCCAUGGCUUCGUCGCAACUGCAGCUCAGAUCUGAUCCCUGGCCCGGGAACUCCACAUGCUCCUGGGAGGCACAAACAACAACAAUAACAACAACAACAACGACAACAACAAUUCUAGUGACUAGGCUGGCAAAGCCAAACUUAGGUGACUUGGGUUUAUUUUCACAGAAUUUGGAAUCAAACAGACCUAGGAUCCAAUUCCAGCCCGGUCACUCAGUCGCUGGGUGACCUCAGUCAAGCUGCUUACCCUCUCUGAGCCUCCAUUUCCUCAUCCCAAAGAGGAAGUGAACAUGCACAUUGCGGCAGGAACUUUGUGAGGCUCUGACAGCACGCAGAUGCCACAGCCCAUGGCAGCUGUUCCACUGGAGGCAGUGUCUUAAUACAUAGAGUGCUUUAUCCCAGGAGCUAAUGACAAGAGCUCCUUCUGCUCCUAGCGGCGGUGUGGAGGCAGGAGCCAGUGGUGCCACAUUCAUCAUGAAUCGGCUGGCCGUGUGGAGCCAAAAAUACUCUCCGUGGGUAGCGUCCCUGUGACUGAUAUUAAAAAUGACUGAUUUAAGAGAAAGUGCUUCACCCCUGUUGCAAACUAAGAAGGUAGGGCUGGAGUAUUCUCAGCCUUAAAUGCUGCCAGUAUUUCAUCUGUGGGCAGUCAUAAAGGUAAAGGUUAAUAGGCUGUGCAAAUGACAGAGUUUAAAGGGAAAAAUGGGGAGGGGCUGAGGUGCUCUCGGCGGCCCAGGGCGACAGGAGACAGGUGGAAGCUCACCUGCAGGGAGGAAAUAUGGGGGUGGGCCCGGCCGUGCCCCCAUCUCAGGCCCUUGGCCCCUCCUCCCAUCUGUUCCCAUAGGGAAAUCCCUUAACCCAAGAGCUCUUUCCCCAGAGGGGACCUUCUUUCCUGGUGGCCCCCCGAGGACACGUGGCCUUGGUGAGACUGCGGCUGGGAAGGGUUGUGAAAGGCAAAGCUGAAUUCAGGGUCCUGAGAAAGAGGCUCUGGGCGGCCUAGGAAGGAGGCAGCAGGCUCAGAUGCAAGUGCACUGCGCCCCGUUCUCCGGUGGCCGUGACCCUGGGGGAAGAGCCGAGGUUCUCAAGUUCGGGAGCACAGCAGAAUCACUGGGGAGCUUGUUGUUCCCGUGCAGAUUCUUAGGCUCCAGCUCAGAUGGCAGGGGUGCCUGGGAAUGUGGGGUGUUUUUUGGUUUUUGGUUUUUUUGUCUUUUUAGAGCCACACCCGCAACAUACAAAAGGUCCCAGGCUAGGGCCUGAAUUGGAGCUGCAGCUGCUGGCCUAUACCACAGCCACAGCAAUGCCAGAUCCGAGCCACAUCUGUGACCUAUACCGCAGCUCCCAGCAAUUCCAGAUCCUUAACCCGCUGAGUGAGGCCAGGGAGUGAACCUGCCUCCUCUUGGAUACUAGUUGCGUUUGUAACCCCCGUGAACCACAGUGGGAACUCCAGGAAUCUGUGUUUUAACAAAUUCCCGCCCAUCUCCACAGGGGACUCUAAGGCGACCUAUAGGCCACUUUGAGAAACCCUCAAUCCGUGAAUGCAUGAGAGUCAAGUUCUAGAUCCAAAUUCCUGGACCCGGUGAUGACAGGGCUUUAGGGACUAUCAAGCCACAAGUGGCACCCAGAUCAACCGGACACCUGCUGAAACUCAGACCUCAGGGGCUUCAUCUGCUGAACAGCCUCGAUGAUGCUGUGUGGCUCCUAUCAUGUUACCCAUGGGGAAGUGGAGCCACAGCCCACCAGUGCCAUGUCCAAGGUCAACCCCGAAUGGCAGAGCUGGUCCUUGCUACCACAGGCCUCUUCUUCCCACCGGCAGGGGCCAGGCUUGCUUCAGCCAUCGCCGGCUCAGAAACUUGGCUCACCAAUUUCUGCUUUCCACACGUACGUGGCCAGCUCUGUCCUGGGCUCAGUCUGGGGGCUGACAAGCAAAGGGUAUGAAUCAAAAUGUCCUGGCUAGUGGGGCACACAGAGGGCUCCCUGGAAUUCACUGUUUACCCCCAAUCUGAGGUUUUGGACAGAACGGGAACCAAGCUGCCUGCAAACACACACUGAUACUGGGAGGGAAAAAAUGUUAAAUGCAAUUACGCAGAGUCCCUCUGUGCCUGUCCCCUCUGAUAGAGGACUUUUAAACUGAGUUUCUCCAAAUGCACCAAAAAUAUCUUCUCUCUGUAAGGAAUUUAACCGAUUACAAAACACACUCACUGCUGUAUCUCCGUAGAUCCUUACAAAAACUGGGGACAGUUUCACCUUCACACAAAGAAUCCGAGGCCCAGAAAGGCCAAGAGUCUUGUCCAAGGUCACUGUGUGGGUAACAUGAUGGCUCCCAAAGCUGUGCAGAUCCUGAUUCCCGAGCCUGGGACUACGUUUCCUUCACGGCGAAAGGAACUCUGCCGUCGUGAUGAAAUUAAGGUUUUUGAGAUGGAGAGAGGGUCCUGGAUGAUCCUCGGGAUGACAAGUGUCCCUGCAGGAGUAAGAGGGAGGCAGCAGCCCUUCACUGCUGGCUUUGACGUUGGAGGAAAGGGACCAUGAGGCCAGGAAGGUGGGAAGCGUCUAGAAGCUGGAAAAGGCAAAGAACCUAUUCUCCCUUAGAGCUGCCAGAAGGAAGUCAGCCCCGAAGACACCUUGAUUUUAUCCCAGUGUGUCUCGUUUUGGACUUCUGAAUAGGGCAGAGCGGCAAGAUAACAAGGUUGUGUUGUUUUAAGCCACUAAAGUUGUGGGACUUUGUAAGAGCAGCAACAGGAAACUGAGGCCAUCACCCAGAAAGAAAAGAGUGGAAUUGAACCAAAGUCGCUGGCCUGGUCCAGGACGCCUCCCCUGCAGAGGCCAGCUGGGACGUACAGACACAGGCGAAGGGAAACCCAGUGAUCUCAGCUACUCUCCCCUUUGGGAGAAGCGAUAACAGCAACGCGAUGGUAAAUGACUCCAACUCCAGCUGAAGCCUAAGCAGGGAGCUGUCAUGUCCCCUCCCUUCCUGUCCUGAGCCCUGACCUGAGCUCCCUGCCCCACUACCUGGCCUCCACCUGCCCAUGGCUCCUGGAGGAGGCUCACCCUUGCCCACACCCCAGAGGUACUGGUUCUCCCCUCCUUGCCCACGGCCAGCUGAUGGGGAUCCGUGCUGUGCAGAAAUCCAGAAGCAUCUGCAGCUUGUCCAGUUCCUGUCUCCUUCCGGACAGAGGCAGUGAAAGCCUUGGGCCCUUCUGGGGUCUGGGGCCUUGGCUGUGCACCACCGCCCACCCCACACCAACACCCGCCCAGCCAGGCCUCCGCCUCCUGCCUGGCCAGUCCUGGAAAGGAACUUUUCUUGCGAUCAAUCUUGCCACCGUCUCCAUGAAUUUUAAAUAAUAGCAGCUUUGCUCUUUCUUGCUCGCUCUCUGGGUGCGUCAGACUGCAGCUUUUACAAGAUCAUAUUUCUUCACAUUUUCAUACAAUUAUUUUAAAUGGACAAGAUAAUGUUGAAAUUCUUAUUUAAAAUGUAUGCAGGUAGAGAAUGAGCCUUCCUGCUUUUUAUAUUUAACACCAGAUGGAGCAAUAGAAGGGAAUUUUAACAACAGAAUUGAAGUGGAAGUGUCUUCAGCGUUCAUGAUGAACUACAGUUUUAAGCAGCUGGUUUUCUUUGAUGAAUAAAUAAUUGCGCCCAAAAUAGAUAGUUUGGCCAUUAUUAAUCUCAUUUUAGACGGUGCACAUUUUAUUGAUUCUUAAGUACAAGAAUUUUGCAGUUUUCACCAAAGGGUGACUUUUCUAAUUAAAAUGUAAGUUAGAGGGAAAAAAGUUCCAGCUGUCUGGUCAGAGGCAGGGGAGGAAGAGGGCCUGAUUCCUUCUGGAAUGAACCCUUUCCAGACUCAUGACCCCCCAGAGAUGUUUCAUGCAGCCAGCCCAUCUCCAGAGGAGCCAAUGAAACUAGCAGAACCCCAGCCAAAAGGCAGCAGCGAGACAGCUCAACCCAGGGAACCAGCAUCUCUUAAAUGGUUUCUACCUAUGUGACCCCGGAAAACAGAGAUGUUUGCCUUUCUGCUCUCUCUAACCCCACAUCUCCUAGGGGUAGCUCUUGCAUAAAUCUUGAGGCAAUUAGGUUUUCUUUUGUUAAAUGUUUAUCAGGAUCUUAUAAACAGAGAACAUGAUAAAGAAGGCAAUUCAAUAAUCUGAUGGCAUAGAUAACACAUAGUGGCCAUUUUAAAAUAAAGGGGGUGGGUAUACUCAGAAAGUGCAAGAAUAAGAGAAAAAGAGUAGCAAAUAUUUAUAAAACACUCAUGUGGUUCUCAGAGUGCAAAAACUGUGCAAGGCAGACACGCCUUUAUCCCGGCUGCUGCAUAAGGAAACGGAUGCUCUGGGGAGUGAGCACCAUGGCUCCGGCUCCCCAGGUAAGAAGGGGCAAAACCCCAUCUCCAGUGUCUGUUGGUAUAAUCGUUAUGUUCUACUGCCUCUUAAAUGAAAGAGUAUGAAAAAAAAAAAAAAAGCCAUCCGCUCCCCAACCCUUCCCACAAAAGGAAUCAUUGUCAACAGUCUCUAGUAAUUUCUUCCAGAAAAAAUUAUGUUUGUAACUGCUUCACCUUCUGCUUAAAAAGGUCAAAGAGGUGGAGCCAGGUGUUCCUAUUGUGGCUCAGUAGUUAACGAACCUGACUAGUAUCCAUGAGGACUCAGGUUCGAUCCUUGGCCUCGCUCAGUGGUUUAAGGAUACUGCAUUGCUGUGGCUGUGGUGUAGGCGGGCAGAAACAGCUCUGAUUCGACCCCUAGCCUGCGAACCUCCGUAUGCUGCAGGUGCAGCCCUAAAAAGAAAAAAAAAAAAA
rnacentral:lncRNA from 1 species